ACAGGUGUCCCUGAACCACAUCCCUCUUUUGCAGAAGAGAUCACAGUUGUGAGGAGCCACCUCGUGAGGAUUUGUCAGUAAUUAAGUGGUAGGGCACUGCAUAAAAAUACCUGGGAAUGAAUGCAAACAAUGUGCUGUGGAGAGUGACAAUAAAACAGGGAUGACAGUAUAAAGAGAGAAUGAUGAAUGUAUUAACACAGCUGCUUUUUUCUCUGAGGAGCUCAGAACUGCUGUCAGAAAUGUUGAAACCUGCCAGAAUUCUUUUUCUCUUUUCUUCCCAAAC